AGUAGCAGUGUUUUCACUGAGGUGUUUUGUCGAACAGUUGGAAGGCGACUCAGGACCAGCAAACAAAGCUCUCACAGCUGCGAAGACGCUACUAGAGCUCUCUCACCUCGGCAAACCAGUGACUUGAUUUUUGAAAGAAUCGAAUCGAAUUGGUGGUGGAAAAGGUCCUUGGAACCGCACUAGGAGACUCACUGGUCCUUCACCGUGAAUGGGAGGAAGGUUCAAUCAUGAAUCAAUGGGGAGAUGGGUUUUGAAUGAUUACCUCUUCACACAGUUGAGAUGCGAAAGCUCGCCCAAAGCCCAAUUCCUAUAUUACAUACUUAACUUCGGAAGCCUUUUGAUGGAUUUUUUCUACUUUUUUGGUUUUUAUCAUCUUUGUUUGUUAACCAUGAUGACUGUUCAACCCAGGAAUGUGUUUGAUCCUCGCCAAAUGUGUAUUUUAGUACGGGGAAGUGGGGGUAUACAUAAAUAGAGAAAGAGGAUACAGGUAAUGGAAGAAAAUGGUUUCUUUACUUAUCGAGAUUUGUGUUUUAUUGGUGCUCUCUUA